rnacentral:rRNA from 1 species
UACGUAGGGGGCAAGCGUUGUCCGGAUUUAUUGGGCGUAAAGAGCGUGUAGGCGGCUUCACAGGUCCGCUGUGAAAACUCGAGGCUCAACCUCGAGCUGUCGGUGGAAACCGUGUCGCUAGAGUCCGGAAGAGGAGAGUGGAAUUCCUGGUGUAGCGGUGAAAUGCGCAGAUAUCAGGAAGAACACCUAUGGCGAAGGCAGCUCUCUGGGACGGUACUGACGCUGAGACGCGAAAGCGUGGGGAGCGAACAGG